AGCAAUCCAGUCACAUAUCAAGGAAAUGAGCAAGUUCUGGUGGGAAAGGCUAAGAGUAUUGACAUAAGGAAUAUUGGUACUGUUUCUAUCCCUGCACAUUCUAAAUUUCUGAAAUCAAAACACGACUUACAUUCCCCUGAAAUCACUAAAAAAAUUAUUUGAUGUCACAAAGGGCAAAUUUUAUCCUACAUUUUUCUAUGAAGGAUCAAUGGUCAAAGAAAAUACUACUCCAAGGUCAGCUUGAUAGAGUUCUUUACGAAAUCAGUGCAGAAACAAGAAGUCCAAAUAUCAAUCCUCAACCCUCAUCUCCUGUCAGAGUCUAUCUUCACCAGAAUAAGGAUUCUAAACUGUGGCAUAUUUGACUUGGCCAUCCAUCUCGAAAACCAAAAGUGUUGUCUCAAGUGCUACCUAACUGUAAUUUGCAAGUUGCAAAUAGCUCCUAUCUUGAUUCUUGUGCUUCAUGUCAAUUAGCAAAAUCUCAC
rnacentral:lncRNA from 1 species